rnacentral:rRNA from 1 species
GGACUACCCGGGUUUCUAAUCCUGUUUGCUACCCACGCUUUCGUGUCUCAGCGUCAGUUACGGUCCAGAGAGCCGUCUACACCACCGGUGUUCCUCCUGAUAUCUACGCAUUUCACCGCUACACCAGGAAUUCCACUCUCCCAUCCCGCACUCUAGCCUUCCAGUUUUCGGCGCACCCUCCCGGUUGAGCCGGGAGAUUUCACACCAAACUUGGAGAGCCGCCUACACACCCUUUACGCCCAGUAACUCCGAACAACGCUCGCUGCCUACGUAUUACCGCGGCGGCUGGCAC